rnacentral:RNase_P_RNA from 1 species
GUAGUCAAUCGAUCUGUCGCUUUUUAGCAAUAAAAAGAGGAAAGUCCGGACAAUACAGAGCACCCUACUAUCUAACGGAUAGCUGUUUGCGAGAGCAGAGUUAAGUAGAAGAAAAGAACCGCCUUCUACGGAAGGUAAGGGUGAGAAGGUGAGGUAAGAGCUUACCGGUUCUUAUAGCAAUAUAAGAAGCCGUACUGCUUAGGGAUUGCAAGAUCAUGUACACCGGCGCACGUAGGAUGGCUCGUCCGAUGCCGGGGGGUAGAUCGCUAAAGUUUAACGGCGACGUUAAAUGUAGAUAAAUGACAGAUAUUCAACAGAAUCCGGCUUAUAGAUUGACUACUUUU